GAGGGUCGAGAGACCACCUUUUGUUCUUAACCAUACCGCGUACCUAGCUGGAAAUUUUGUGUCUCUGCCUCGGCGGCGGCCCCAGGGGGGGCCGCUGCUCGCCAAGCCGUUGACCCACGGCACGGCGGGCGCCGCCGGUGGCACCUAAACCUUGGGGCAUUGCAAGUAUUCCACUGCUAUUAGUUAUAUAGUUUUACAUACCAAUU
rnacentral:sRNA from 1 species